rnacentral:rRNA from 1 species
GUACACUCCUGCGGGAGGCAGCAGUGGGGAAUUUUGGACAAUGGGCGAAAGCCUGAUCCAGCAAUGCCGCGUGAGUGAAGAAGGCCUUCGGGUUGUAAAGCUCUUUUGUCAGGGAAGAAACGGUGAAAGCUAACAUCUUUUGCUAAUGACGGUACCUGAAGAAUAAGCACCGGCUAACUACGUGCCAGCAGCCGCGGUAAUACGUAGGGUGCAAGCGUUAAUCGGAAUUACUGGGCGUAAAGCGUGCGCAGGCGGUUUUGUAAGUCUGAUGUGAAAUCCCCGGGCUCAACCUGGGAAUUGCAUUGGAGACUGCAAGGCUAGAAUCUGGCAGAGGGGGGUAGAAUUCCACGUGUAGCAGUGAAAUGCGUAGAUAUGUGGAGGAACACCGAUGGCGAAGGCAGCCCCCUGGGUCAAGAUUGACGCUCAUGCACGAAAGCGUGGGGAGCAAACAGGAUUAGAUACCCAAGUAGUCCCA